CUCAGAUAUUUGCACCCAGCAGGACUGACUUCUAUAUAAUGUGCUGGAUAUCUCCAAAAACUUGAUUCAGAAGAUUCUGUUUGAGUUCGAUACAGCUUUUUGCAUGGCAAGUGAUGGAUAUUGUCCUCAGGAUGUGAAUUUGCACCAGAUCUAGCUAAAUGUUUUGGAGGGGCUUACUCGGUAGUUUGGAUCUGGAAAUGGGCUAUAUUCUGCCCUUGAAUCAAGGUAUCAUUGGUCAUAUCCCCCCAAUUCAAGCUGAAUAAGGAAAAGGACCAAGAAGAAAAUGUUUCCAUCACGCCUGAAGAUGUCAACAUUCAACAGGAAGAAAUCAAAGAGAGGAACCUAGACUCCUGAGUUUGCGGGCCCUCUGGAUCUGCCACAGGAGUAAGACACAGUAGGGUGCUGUUUCCUCAGGAUGCCUAAAUUCAAGUUCUCCUUCAAGCCAAUGCAACAGAUUGACUUAGUUUAAUGAGGCCACUGCUGAGCUGACUGAUUCUGAGGAUCUAACUAGGCACUAGAAACUCAACUUGCCAACACAUCCUCUCCAGAGAUAGGAAUUUCUUGCCUUGCUGUUAGCCUACCAACACCUACCUA